UACGAGGGGGGCAAGCGUUGUUCGGAAUUAUUGGGCGUAAAGGGCGCGUAGGCGGUGCGGUAAGUCACCUGUGAAACCUCUAGGCUUAACCUAGAGCCUGCAGGCGAAACUGCCGUGCUUGAGGGUGGGAGAGGUGCGUGGAAUUCCCGGUGUAGCGGUGAAAUGCGUAGAGACCGGGAAGAACACCAGUGGCGAAGGCGGCAUCCUGGACCGACACUGACGCUGAGGAGCGAAAGCCAGGGGAGCAAACGGG
rnacentral:rRNA from 1 species